rnacentral:rRNA from 1 species
AAUAGAUACCCGGGUAGUCCACGCCGUAAACGGUGGGCACUAGAUGUGGGGCUCUUUCCAUGAGUUCCGCGUCGCAGCUAACGCAUUAAGUGCCCCGCCUGGGGAGUACGGCCGCAAGGCUAAAACUCAAAGGAAUUGACGGGGGCCCGCACAAGCGGCGGAGCAUGCGGAUUAAUUCGAUGCAACGCGAAGAACCUUACCAAGGCUUGACAUAUACGGUCUAUCCCUAGAGAUAGGGAGUGCUUCGGCGCCGUAUACAGGUGGUGCAUGGUUGUCGUCAGCUCGUGUCGUGAGAUGUUGGGUUAAGUCCCGCAACGAGCGCAACCCUCGUCCUAUGUUGCCAGCGGAUAAUGCCGGGGACUCAUGGGAGACUGCCGGGGUCAACUCGGAGGAAGGUGGGGAUGAGGUCAAAUCAUCAUGCCCCUUAUGUCUUGGGCUUCACGCAUGCUACAAUGGCCGGUACAAAGGGCUGCAAUACCGCGAGGUGGAGCGAAUCCCAAAAAGCCGGUCUCAGUUCGGA